ACGAUGUUUCAAUAUCAAUUGUACUGGAAAUCCAGUUCACAGUUCUCUCAAACAUGUAAAAUCAAAGCCUUUGAUCAUUUUCAGCUGUCAAUUUUGUCAGUUUCAGCUACUUUGACAUCCCUGUAAAAAUAAAUCGGCAGUUGUUGUGUGGUACAUUUCUGGUGAUGACUGACGAUAACUUUUCCACCAACAAAGCUCACUUUUUAAUUUUUCUACUAAAUUUAUUUCACGGAAAUGACGAAUAUUUAGUUUAUUUUUACUCGUCCGUGCCCUCCGUGGAUGCUAAGGGCUGUCACUAGGUGGCUAAAUAUGUCUGUGUGUUUAGGGAUUUAACUAUUCAGCUAUCUAGAGGAAAGUAGGGGCAGGGGUGGGGGUCAUCAAAUUUCGACAUUCAGAUAACACAUUCCAUUUCUAUUACGAUAUUUCUUUUUAUUCGAGACGCUGUCGGAGAAGGUUACCUUAGCCAUUGUCUCAUGGAGGGGCACUUUUGUUUAAGACUUCGUUUUUUAAUUGAGUUUUUAUAUUUCUAUCAACAGCCUGGUGAAGUCUGAGCUUCUUCAUUGAAAUACGUCCAUGUGUUCGCUGCCUUGAAGAGGGUCUAUUUUGCAAGACAAAUGAGAUGAAAAGAGGAAACUUGAAAAGGGUUCCUCGUUCAGUUAGAGCUGUUCAUGGCGUUGUCUGGUGUGCAGUGGUUUUGCAUUCAUUAAGUCGAGAGAUGCCCUGAGGUGGAUGAUCAACUGCUGAGACUUUUCUCGCAUUGUCUUUUUCAAUGGCGAUGCUGUCCAAGAAGGUUUAGCUUGGCCAUUGCAGGCAACUUUCUCUGUUGACAAUGUUCAUCUUAAAAAUGGGACAAAGCACCUGAUGCUAGCAACAUCGCAAUCUUGUUCCACUGAUGACACCAUCUUCUUUGGACAUCGUGGGAUACUGUCAGUCAAAUUGUUCGAAAUCAAUGUGGUCAACUCAACUUCAACAUUCUUCUUCACAAAUAUUUUGAAGGAUUAAUGGCUUGGUGAGGUUCAGCUUUUUCAUGGCAGUCAAAUGUCCACAUGGAAUUGUUGCAGCUGUGAAGGUCGUAGUGAGCUGUUGCGUGAUGACCAUGUGCUGGUGUGGGAAGUGCUGCAUGCUGUCUGGUGUUGGUUUGAAUUUUUUUUCAUUGCCUUAACUACUAAGUGGUUGAAUCAUUCAUUCUAUAAUUGUUGGCUGAAGGUUUCCAUCGUCAGUUAGAUGUAGAGCUAAUUAUGUUGUUGCUCUUUGGUGUGCAGUUCAUGUUCAGGUGCUUUUGUUGCAGCCAGCUGGUGAAAGAGGUUAAAGGUGUGUAGAGCUGUAGCUUAUUGUAGCAGUCAACAAGGUGUUAUUCUGAAGUGCAAUAUCAAUUAAGACAUUCUGAAAUGAUUUGGUGACAAUGUGAUAAACAAUAUGCUGAAUGGAGUCUGCUGUUUUUGUUAUCAAGGAGUGGAGAAGUAAGACUUGAAGCAAGGCUUCAAGAAAAUGAAAUGGUCUCGGCGUAAAUGUACAGUCGCUUUGCAGUCUCAAUCCUGUUCAAGCUGUUGCUAUCCUGAAUUAUGCUGGAGUUUUGGAAUUAGCUGAUCCUGAAGUUGGGUUGCUGGUGUUAUCCUGAAGAAGCUGAUGUUGAUGUUAUUGAGUAAGUGUGCCAGUUCAGUUCUGGUUGUUUAAAAUUAUAUCCAUGUUGUAGAUUUGUUAUCAACUAAGACAUGUUGCAACCUGUUGUUAAUUUAAACAGCGCGUCUUCCUGAAAUAUCCUCACCCAUACGUUUUUAAAUAAUUCUUAAGUAAUGGGAUGUCAAAACUUGCAAUAUUUUCCUUGUGCAUUGUUAAAUCUGAUAUUUUUCAUGAGUAUGUGAAAUUUUGAAACAAAUAAAAUUUAAACCAAU